rnacentral:tRNA from 1 species
GGGUGUAUGGUGGAAUGGUAGACACGUCGGUUUUAGAAGCCGAUGCCGAAAGGUGUAAGGGUUCAAAUCCCUUUAUACCCA